CAAAGCAUCAGCCCCGUCUCGUUCCCCUACUUCCGUGUGCAAAUCCUGAUUCAAUCUCGACGUCCCCCAAAUUCCAGCCGCCGGUGUGCUACGCCCCUGCUGCUUGCCACAUCGCCGCCGGCGUACUCCUCGAUGCCAAGCACACCACCCCAGAUCGGCACGCUCCAUCCCGGUCGGCGGCCCAACUCGCGGCACUGCCCCAGCUACUUCUUCCCGCCGGCCACGGCGAUGCUCCUCCACUUGCAGUGACGCCGGCAAACUACGCGGGCUGCACGCGCCCCUUGGCUACGGCCAAGCUUCUCGCGCGCUGGCGUGUUGAUCUCCUUCAAGUUGGCUCCAUCGGUUGUGGCCUAGCUACUGUACAUUGACCUGCUAGCUGCAUCUUGGCAAAUAACUUCAAGUUCAGAGCAUGACGGCUCAUCUGCUGAGUAUAUAGAAGAACCAAGAGGAAGAUGAUCACAUGAUGGCAAAAGGAAGACAGAAGAACCAAAAAUCUGCUGGUGUGCAUGCCUCUGUCGAUGAAGAUUCAGUGCUUUGUAGAAAUGUCCGCACAAUUUGUUUCACUUAACUAGACCAAAUAAUCACGAACUCAAGUCAAGUAGCUUAGUAUUGUUGAUGCUUUCUUAUUUUGAAGAAAAUAUGCCCUAGAGGUAAUAAUAAAGUUAUUAUUUAUUUCCUUAUAUCAUGAUAAAUGUUUAUUAUUCA